rnacentral:rRNA from 1 species
UACGGAGGAUGCAAGCGUUAUCCGGAAUCACUGGGUGUAAAGCGUCUGUAGGUGGUUAUAUAAGUCUGCUGUUAAAGAUUAGGGCUCAACCCUAAAACAGCAGUGGAAACUGUUUAACUAGAGUAUGGUAGGGGUAGAGGGAAUUCCCAGUGUAGCGGUGAAAUGCGUAGAUAUUGGGAAGAACACCAGAGGCGAAAGCGCUCUACUGGACCAUUACUGACACUGAGAGACGAAAGCUAGGGGAGCAAAUGGG